CAGGCCUAACACAUGCAAGUCGAACGAGAAAGUGGAGCAAUCCAUGAGUAAAGUGGCGACCGGGUGAGUAACACGUGACCAAUCUACCCUUGAGUGGGGGAUAACCUCGGGAAACCGGGGCUAAUACCGCAUAACAUCCUUGGAACGGAAGUACUGGGGAUCAAAGGAGCAAUUCGCUUAAGGAGGAGGUCGCGGCUGAUUAGCUAGUUGGCGGGGUAAUGGCCCACCAAGGCAAAGAUCGGUAGCCGGCCUGAGAGGGCGCACGGCCACACUGGAACUGAAACACGGUCCAGACUCCUACGGGAGGCAGCAGUGGGGAAUUUUGCGCAAUGGGGGAAACCCUGACGCAGCAACGCCGCGUGGAGGAUGAAGUCCCUUGGGACGUAAACUCCUUUCGACCCGGACGAUAAUGACGGUACGGGUGGAAGAAGCCCCGGCUAACUUCGUGCCAGCAGCCGCGGUAAUACA
rnacentral:rRNA from 1 species